GGUUGUAUGGUGUAAUGGUUAGCACUCUGGACUCUGAAUCCAUGGAUUCGAGUUCAAAUCUCGGUAGGACCA
rnacentral:tRNA from 1 species